CAUGCAAGUCGAGCGGUAACAGGGGUAGCUUGCUACCCGCUGACGAGCGGCGGACGGGUGAGUAAUGCAUAGGAAUCUGCCCGAUAGUGGGGGAUAACCUGGGGAAACCCAGGCUAAUACCGCAUACGUCCUACGGGAGAAAGGGGGCUCCGGCUCCCGCUAUUGGAUGAGCCUAUGUCGGAUUAGCUAGUUGGUGAGGUAAUGGCUCACCAAGGCAACGAUCCGUAGCUGGUCUGAGAGGAUGAUCAGCCACAUCGGGACUGAGACACGGCCCGAACUCCUACGGGAGGCAGCAGUGGGGAAUAUUGGACAAUGGGCGAAAGCCUGAUCCAGCCAUGCCGCGUGUGUGAAGAAGGCCCUCGGGUUGUAAAGCACUUUCAGCGAGGAAGAACGCCUAGUGGUUAAUACCCAUUAGGAAAGACAUCACUCGCAGAAGAAGCACCGGCUAACUCCGUGCCAGCAGCCGCGGUAAUACGGAGGGUGCAAGCGUUAAUCGGAAUUACUGGGCGUAAAGCGCGCGUAGGUGGCUUGAUAAGCCGGUUUGUGAAAGCCCCGGGCUCAC
rnacentral:rRNA from 1 species